CAAAGUAUUACUGUAAGCAGUAAGUACAUUUUUUCUGAUAUGAGAAACAGAUUUAAUGUCUGCAGUGUUUGCUAUGCUUGCAGAAUUUAUUUCUCGUGAUUGGAGGACUGAAGGGUGUUGGGGGGUGGGGGGGGCUCGCCACAGACAGCUUUUGCUUUGGGAUUGUUAUUUCUUCUGUUUUUUUGGAGCCGGCACAGCACUGUAAAAACGUAAAUUUGCUGUCAGCUGUUAUCAGAGGACAAAGACCACUGACCUGCACCCUGAGAUCUGUCAUCUGGGACAGCAGGUCCUGGAACAGCUGUCUGUCUGCAGCAGGCAGCUCAGAGGACAACACCACCCCAACAUAAUAGCCUGGACCUGGCGCCAUCAUGUCCGGAAACAUAAACACACCGGUGUUACACAGCAACACCGGUGAGUCCAUGGCCAUGAGAGGGUAAAGCCAGUCACACACCUGGCAGGACGCAAAACAAAAGAAAUGCUGGUGGUCGGUCAGGCAUCGCAUCAUGGUCACUAGUAAACUUCACCAGCCGCAGGAAGCCUGGGUACGACGGAGCGCUCACCUGCCCCUCAGGAGUGACAAAGAAUAUCUGUACACCAUGAGGGAUGUACACCAGCUCCUCUCCUUCUUCUCCCAUACUCUGGGGUGACAGAGAUGAGUUAGAUGUACGACUGUAGAACUCAUCCCCAA